AGUAUCUAGUGCUCAUAUGGACUGGAAACUCCAUCGCUCAACAACAUCGUAACUGUGCAGAUGUUAGCGAACUUUCUGAAUGUCACUCAGUAAUGGGCGUAUUCUAAUAGUGGCAACUAAAUUCCAACGAUUAAACCAGUAACCAGCACGAAUUUAAUUUUGUUCUGUGUGCCUCAAGCAGCAGAUCAGGACCUGGCGUGUGGAUACGUGGACGCAAACUGGAUAGUCCACGCUGACAGGUGUAGCCCACUCUGCUUCGCAGUUGCAACUGCACAAACAAUAUCAGAAUGGGAAAAUCCGAGGACAGUAUGCCACAGCCAGCAUCAAAGGACACAGCAGGAACUGGUUAUGAUGCGGCAGGGGAUCCAGUUAGAAAGCCACACAGUGAGGCACCAACUGGAAACGUCACUGCAGAAGAUCCUCUAAUACCCGGCGGCAUGAUGAAGGUCCCACUGACGCUGGGGCCUGAGUCGUGCACCGUCGUAUGUCCAGCGUGUUACCAAACCAUCCAGACACACGUGGAGGUCAAAACAACAUCCGAGACAAACGUACUUUCUAUCCUAUGCGAUCUCAUUUCGUGCUGCUGCUGUUGCUGUAUGCUGUUUCUAUGGUUUGAAGACGACCAUCAUGACCACUCUGUCGACUCCUGCUGUUGCCCUGAUUGUGAGGACAGCUAUACGGAUACCCAUGAAGUGAGGCAACACUACUGCCCCAACUGUAAAGCUUUCAUUGGGGCUUACGAGAAAUAGCUGUCCAAUGAGUCCACUUGUUCAAUACUCUGUUGCUGUGAGCUGAACGAACCAGCUCGAGUAUAAACUCCGUCCACGGCACCCACAAAAAAUACACUCCAUCUAUUUGAUGCUUUGAACUAACAGUGAAGAUUUACUUCGAUUUAUAACCAUCAAAUCGCCGAAGUACCAAAAGUGUUAUGUUAGUACAGUUGCAGAUUUUCUUUUUCUAAGUUUACCAAUACAUGUUCCACUGUGUAAUGCAAGACAAGAAAUAAAAGAUGGAAAAUGUCA